GACGAACGCUGGCGGCGUGCCUAAUACAUGCAAGUAGAACGCACAGUUUAUACCGUAGCUUGCUACACCAUAGACUGUGAGUUGCGAACGGGUGAGUAACGCGUAGGUAACCUGCCUGGUGGCGGGGGAUAACUAUUGGAAACGAUAGCUAAUACCGCAUAAUAUUAAUUAUUGCUUGAUAAUUAAUUGAAAGGUGCAAUUGCACCACUACCAGAUGGACCUGCGUUGUAUUAGCUAGUAGGUGAGGUAACGGCUCACCUAGGCGACGAUACAUAGCCGACCUGAGAGGGUGAUCGGCCACACUGGGACUGAGACACGGCCCAGACUCCUACGGGAGGCAGCAGUAGGGAAUCUUCGGCAAUGGACGAAAGUCUGACCGAGCAACGCCGCGUGAGUGAAGAAGGUUUUCGGAUCGUAAAGCUCUGUUGUAAGAGAAGAACGGGUGUGAGAGUGGAAAGUUCACACUGUGACGGUAUCUUACCAGAAAGGGACGGCUAACUACGUG
rnacentral:rRNA from 1 species